UUCAGACCCCUUUGCUGAUGCAAGUAAGGCUGAUGACCUGUUUCUUGCUAGCACUGAGGAUUAUAUCCAUAUAAGAAUUCAACAGAAAGAAGUUUGCCUGCAAUGGUGCUGUAAUUGAGCAUCCGGAAUAUGGAGAAGUACUUCAGCUAUAGGGUGACCAACACAAGAACAUAUGCCAGUUCCUCAUAGAGACUGGACUGGCUAAGGACGAUCAGCUGAAGGUUCAUGGGUUUU
rnacentral:lncRNA from 10 species